rnacentral:rRNA from 1 species
GAUGAACGCUGGCGGCGUGCCUAAUACAUGCAAGUCGAGCGAACAGACGAGGAGCUUGCUCCUCUGACGUUAGCGGCGGACGGGUGAGUAACACGUGGAUAACCUACCUAUAAGACUGGGAUAACUUCGGGAAACCGGAGCUAAUACCGGAUAAUAUAUUGAACCGCAUGGUUCAAUAGUGAAAGACGGUUUUGCUGUCACUUAUAGAUGGAUCCGCGCCGCAUUAGCUAGUUGGUAAGGUAACGGCUUACCAAGGCAACGAUGCGUAGCCGACCUGAGGGGGUGGUCGGCCACACUGGAACUUAGACACGGUCCAGACUCCUACGGGAGGCAGCAGUAGGGAAUCUUCCGCAAUGGGCGAAAGCCUUACGGAGCAACGCCGCGUGAGUUAUGAAGGUCUUCCGAGCGUAAAACUCUGUUAUUAGUGAAGAACAAAUGUGUAAGUAACUAUGCACUUCUUGACGGUACCUAAUCAGAAAGCCACGGCUAACUACGUG